rnacentral:rRNA from 1 species
GAUGAACGCUGGCGGCGUGCCUAAUACAUGCAAGUCGAGCGAACAGACGAGGAGCUUGCUCCUUUGACGUUAGCGGCGGACGGGUGAGUAACACGUAGGUAACCUACCUAUUAGACUGGGAUAACUUCGGGAAACCGGAGCUAAUACCGGAUAAUAUUUCGAACCGCAUGGUUCGAUAGUGAAAGAUGGCUUUGCUAUCACUUAUAGAUGGACCUGCGCCGUAUUAGCUAGUUGGUAAGGUAACGGCUUACCAAGGCAACGAUACGUAGCCGACCUGAGAGGGUGAUCGGCCACACUGGAACUGGGACACGGUCCAGACUCCUACGGGAGGCAGCAGUAGGGAAUCUUCCGCAAUGGGCGAAAGCCUGACGGAGCAACGCCGCGUGAGUGAUGAAGGUCUUCGGAUCGUAAAACUCUGUUAUUAGGGAAGAACAAACGUGUAAGUAACUGUGCACGUCUUGACGGUACCUAAUCAGAAAGCCACGGCUAACUACGUG